AGCCCAGCACAGCACAGAUUUACAAAAUGAUACACAAAGACCUCAGAGAGUCUUGCUUUGUUGUCCAGGCUGGAAUGCAGUGGCUCAAUUUCGGUUUACUGCAACCUGCACCUCCCAGACUCAAGUGAUUCUCCUGCUUCAGCCUCCCAAGUAGCUGGGAUUACAGUGGUACAUCCUGUAGUUGAGGGCUUCUUAAACCUGAUGAAAUACCAUAGGUUCUACAUGUCAGAUGGAGUCUCACUCUGUCACCCAGGCUGUAGUCCAGUGGCAUGAUCCCGGCUCACUACAACCUCCGCUUCCUGGGUUCAAGCAAUUCUCCUGCUUGUGAUUUCCUCCAUUUGGAUUAGAUAAGGACCAGUGAGAGGUACAUAUUAUUAUCCAUGUUUUACAGAAGAGAAAAGUGAAGUUUAAAGAGCUUAAGUAAUUUUCCAAGAUGGUAGCUACUGAAUGCUGAGAUGGAGACAACCCGUGGCUUCUUGCCUCCCAGGCUUACCACAGUGCUCUACGGCCUCAACUAAAAUAUCUCAAUGUUUAAAGAACAUAAAAGGUUUUCUUUUUGCUCAGUGUCAUAAAAGUGAUGACUCAUCCAACACUGGGUCAAAAAUCAAUCACCAUUCCUAACAUAAGGUAUCUGAAACAUGUAUUUUACUGAACAUUGGAAACCUCAGGUAUUUGUGUAUUUGGGUUCACCCAUAUAUGGUAACUAGUGACCAAGUAAUCAUCUGGUGCCCUGAGUAUUGGCAAACAUCUACAGGAUCAGGCUGUCUUUAAGUCAAAUAAAUGUGGAAAGUUUCAAGUCACCAAGUAUGCAUGGUCAUCUGCUCCACUCAUUUAUAAA
rnacentral:antisense_RNA from 1 species